rnacentral:lncRNA from 1 species
CGCCCCGCCAGCCCCAGCCGCUCUCUGAGUGGCUAGAAGGCGCCUCGCGGCUUGCGGGACCACUAUGCAUCACUUCCGGGGCGUGUCCCGUCCGGGGAGCUAGACAAUCCGUGGAGCUUGGGUUGCGCGUUUGUCCUGAAAGAAGGCCUGGGGUUCUCGGUCAGAGUAAGGCUUGAGUCGAAGCCUGCAGACUCGCUGCCGGCUAGGGCAGAAGAGCAGGGCGUCCAGGGCGUCUCAGGGGCUCCGCCAGCGAGGGCCUGCGAUUGCUAUUCCCGGCGCCGGGGACCCAGGGGCCGGCAAGCGGGCGGGCGGGCAGCGAGGCAUGCCGGGAGCUGUAGUCUGUCUCCUCGAUCACCGCGAGUAGGUGCCAGUCUGCGUGGUUCGCGGACAGCGAGGGGCUUGGGCGUUUUCCAGGCGGGCUGCGGUCAUCAGAAGCAGAAGGACUCAUGCUGGUAGCAAAACCUCUUUCAUCUCCGAAGGGGGAGCAACUAGAAUCCCGAGUGCGCCCUUCCCGUACCGUCCAGUGUUGGCUGAAUUGGAGGGGAUCUGCCUGCCUCCCUUGAGAUUGAACUUCGGAAUGAAAUGGAUCGAACUCAGGACCUUGGGCUUGCGAUACCAAACAGACUCUUAACUCAGUCGAUUAACUGUGCAAGGUGGAGGUCAUCAGGACAGCAGUAAUAUGCGGAAGCUGACUCUGCAGGGGUGAAGGCAGCCUCACCAAACUGCCACAGGGAGACAGUUCAGAGCCAGGAUCCGAUGCCAGAGUCUACGAGCAGCUCCACCAGCCUGAAGAGACACAGGAACAUCGUUCAGACCUGCAAGAGACUUCACAGCUGAUCACAGUAGUCCUGCGUCCUACAGCACAGGAACUUUACACAUGUAUAAACUGAGAUAGAGUGCUAUGAAUGUGUCAUCAAAUGACAAUAAGGGGAAAUCGUUGGGUCCAUUUAAUUCUUUGCUUCGUAUGUUAUAGCCAUUUACAUAUUGACCCUUGGCUACUCGGAUGUAGAAAGCUAUUGAUUUUUUGGAAUAUUGAUUUUUUUUUUUUUUGGUACCAGGGAUCGAACUCGGGUCCUUGCGCUUGCAAAGCAGGUGGCGAAACCACUGAGCUAAAUCCCCAGCCCCGGAAUGUUGAUUUUUUUUUUAAACCAAAACUUUAGUGAGUUUAUUUGUUUUAAACUAUUUUUGGCGAAAUCUGUAAGUUUUCUAUAUAUAAAUGAUCAUUUCAUCUCCAAACAGGGACAAUUUGGCCUCCUCCUUUCCAAUUUAGGCAUA